rnacentral:rRNA from 1 species
AUGAACGCUGGCGGCGUGCCUCAUCCAUGCAAGUCGAGCGAACGGACGAGAAGCUUGCUUCUCUGAUGUUAGCGGCGGACGGGUGAGUAACACGUGGAUAACCUACCUAUAAGACUGGGAUAACUUCGGGAAACCGUAGCUAAUACCGGAUAAUAUUUUGAACCGCAUGGUUCAAAAGUGAAAGACGGUCUUGCUGUCACUUAUAGAUGGAUCCGCGCUGCAUUAGCUAGUUGGUAAGGUAACGGCUUACCAAGGCAACGAUGCAUAGCCGACCUGAGAGGGUGAUCGGCCACACUGGAACUGAGACACGGUCCAGACUCCUACGGGAGGCAGCAGUAGGGAAUCUUCCGCAAUGGGCGAAAGCCUGACGGAGCAACGCCGCGUGAGUGAUGAAGGUCUUCGGAUCGUAAAACUCUGUUAUUAGGGAAGAACAUAUGUGUAAGUAACUGUGCACAUCUUGACGGUACCUAAUCAGAAAGCCACGGCUAACUACGUG